UACGUAGGUGACAAGCGUUGUCCGGAUUUACUGGGCGUAAAGAGCGCGCAGGCGGUCGAUCAAGUCGAGUGUGAAAGCCCCCGGCUCAACUGGGGAGGGGUCAUUCGAUACUGAUCGACUCGAAGGCAGGAGAGGGUAGUGGAAUUCCCGGUGUAGUGGUGAAAUGCGUAGAUAUCGGGAGGAACACCAGUGGCGAAGGCGACUACCUGGCCUGUUCUUGACGCUGAGGCGCGAAAAGCUAGGGGAGCAAACGGG
rnacentral:rRNA from 1 species